AUUUCCGGUUCUGAGGACGCCGCGGAAGCGGGACGGGAUUGGAGUGCUCUGCUCCGGACGCACUACGUAGGAUAUGAUAUUCACUUUCAUGACAAGAAAAUCCUGUUACUCGAAGCAGGUCCAAAGAAAGUAUUGGAGAAAUUGUCAGAAACUUACAGCAACAGGGUCAGCUCCAUUUCCCCUGGCUCUGCAACGCUUCUCAGUAGUGUGGGACGCCUGCUCAGAGGCCCUGAUAAUGUUUGAUAAGGAUAAUUUAGAUGAUAUGGGCUAUAUCGUGGAGAAUGAUGUCAUCAUGCAUGCUCUCACUAAGCAGCUGGAGGCUGUGUCUGACCGAGUGACGGUUCUCUACAGGAGCAAAGCCAUUCGCUAUACCUGGCCUUGUCCAUUUCCUAUGGCCGACUCCAGCCCUUGGGUUCAUAUUACCCUAGGUGAUGGCAGCACCUUCCAGACCAAAUUGUUGGUAGUUGAAGAUUCUUAUUUUGCUAGGGGUCCUGUAUAUCUACAUCUUAUCCUAGAUUCUAGGGACUCUGGUUUUAGAUUUAAGCUAUAGUUUAAUUUUAGGCAAAGCUUUUGGUUAUGAGGACCAGUACCCAUUCAGGCCAGCUCAAGUGGAGAUGGUCUCGUCGUAAAUCCUGUACAGGGAGCAAUCUCAUGGGCCGUCUUAGGUUGUGAAAUAACAGAUAGCUGGGCCUCACAGGACAGGCACCAGAGUGUCGGGAAUGGAGGCUGUUCUUUCCCUCUUAGGAGUCUGGUCAUUGAUCUCUUGCCUCUCAUUUUUCUCCUUUCUGCUCACAAGCUUCCCUUUUUGCAUGGCAGCCAUUCCUAACCCUACAUCAGAACUAUUCAGCUCCAGUGCGUGCCCCAUACUGAAACUUUCCUUAUUGCUCUCUAGUUCAAAUAUCAGGAGGGCCUGGCUGAGUUUAACUCAUGGCUGGCACCUUUUCAGUCAUGUCCAGCUUUGGCUCUGUUGGCUGUGGCUGAUGUGACACAGUGCAGGGGCUCCACCUCUAGGGGCUGUGAGUGAAGCAGGCCUGAUGGAAUUAUCCUGCCACACAACAAUCAGAGCUGGAGGAAGCUUUAGGGGGCAGAGAAAAACUUCUGAAGCAGUUUAUGAAGAGGCUGUAAGACUUAGCAGGCUCAUGUGUCCAUGCAGAUAGGUGCAGAUGGUCACAACUCCGGAGUACGGCAGGCUGCUGGAAUCCAGAAUGUGAGCUGGAACUAUGACCAGUCUGCUGUUGUGGCUACUCUGCAUUUAUCAGAGGCCACAGAAAACAAUGUAGCCUGGCAGAGAUUUCUUCCCUCUGGGCCUAUUGCUCUGCUCCCGGUAAGAGGUCCUUCUGGCCAGUCUGCCCACAUGCAUGCAGCCUUUCCUCUUCACUUUCUCUCAGCCUUUUUCUGAUUUCAAGGGAAUCUGCCCAGGCUGGUUUUGUAAGUUCCCUUCUUGUCUUUUUAUGCU
rnacentral:sRNA from 1 species